rnacentral:rRNA from 1 species
AUUGAACGCUGGCGGCAGGCCUAACACAUGCAAGUCGAGCGAGCGGCGGACGGGUGAGUAAUGCCUGGGAAUUGCCCAGUUGAGGGGGAUAACAGUUGGCAACGACUGCUAAUACCGCAUACGAUUGGAUUGCCUAGGUGGGAUUAGCUAGUUGGUGAGGUAAUGGAUCACCCAGGCGACGAUCCCUAGCUGGUCUGGUAGGAUGAUAAGCCACACUGGAACGGAGACACGGACCAGACUCCAACGGGAGGCAGGAGUGUGGAAGAUAGCACAAUGGGGUAAGCCCUGAUGCAACCAUGCCGCGUGGGUGAAGAAGGCCGUCGGGUUGUAGAGCACUUACAACGAGGAGGCGUUACUCGCAGAAGAAGCACCGGCUAACUCCGUGCCAGCCGCCGCGGUAAUUC